AGGACGAACGCUGGCGGCGUGCUUAACACAUGCAAGUCGAGCGGAAAGGCCCUUCGGGGUACUCGAGCGGCGAACGGGUGAGUAACACGUGAGCAACCUGCCCUUAGCUUCGGGAUAGCUCCGGGAAACCGGAAUUAAUACCGAAUAUGACCAUGGCCGGAAUCGGCCAUGGUGGAAAGUUUUUCGGCUAGGGAUGGACUCGCGGCCUAUCAGCUAGUUGGUGAGGUAACGGCCCACAAGGCGACGACGGGUA
rnacentral:rRNA from 1 species